rnacentral:rRNA from 1 species
GUGCCAGCAGCCGCGGUAAUACGUAGGGGGCAAGCGUUGUCCGGAUUUAUUGGGCGUAAAGAGCUCGUAGGCGGUUCGAUGAGUCGGCUGUGAAAUCUCCACGCUUAACGUGGAGGGGUCAGUCGAUACUGUCGUGACUCGAGUCCGGUAGGGGAGAAUGGAAUUCCCGGUGUAGCGGUGAAAUGCGCAGAGAUCGGGAGGAACACCCGUAGCGAAGGCGGUUCUCUGGGCCGGUACUGACGCUGAGGAGCGAAAGCGUGGGGAGCAAACAGGAUUAGAUACCCUGGUAGUCC